rnacentral:piRNA from 1 species
AAGAGAUGUCCGUGCACAGGUGUGCU